rnacentral:lncRNA from 1 species
GGCCCUGCUUCAUUGUGUCAGUGAGCAUACCAAAGUAUAAAUGCAAAAAUUUAAUUUAUAUAAGCUGCAGAAUCUGUUCUGACAUCUAUUCUUACAUGGAUAAAACCCUUGCACACAACACAUCGGUAUUACAUCCACUUGCUAGAGAUGCUAGAGAAAAGCAUGCACAGCCAGAGUAAGCCUUGUGGAUAUAACAAAUCUUCCAUGUGAUCCUAGAGUAAAAAUUGCAUAACAUGGUCAAGUUGAACUAGGGCAGUCAAAUGUCAGAGGCGCUCGCCAAUGUGGAGUUCGGGGAGGACCAAUGUUCACAGUCUACAGCAGAGAAGAUGUUUUCAUACUCAAAUCUUGGUCAUUCCAGUUGAAUAACCUUACUGUGGUUCAAGGCCCUUGUCUUGAGUCGUUCAUUUAAACCAAUUGGUGUCGGUUGAAAUUGACAGGGCCCUAUUGUAUAUACAUAAAACUUAGAACAGCAUUUGGAGUUCUCUACUGUGACAACAGCAAAGACAAGAAAUAUUGACAUAAUACUUCUAAAGAAGAUGAGAAAAAUAAAGACAAUUUUCUUUUUCAGAUUUUUCUUUUAAACUCAGUACAUACUGAUGUACCAACACUUGGUAUAUACCAGUAACAUACCAGACCGUUAUAGUAUCAACCAGAGCCCUAACCGAUACUCGAAAUUGUGAACCUUGUUAGUAACUCAUGAAUAACUUAAAGAUUGAUAUGAACAACUGAAAUCUAACCUUUUGAAGGUAUACCAAGUUCUAAGUGAAGGAGAAGAGCAUGUGCUUACAAAAAGUGCCAGAAGUUGAACUUUUGGGUUCUUGCUUCCCAGACGCUUUUUAAGUACUUUCAGUGCAUCCUUUGCCUGUCUGCUCGUGAGAAGAAAUAUUAUUAGAUGAAGUUUCAGUAAAGGACAAUAAAAAUAUUUUACUACUAUGAAGCAACUAACAUUUUUUAGAAGUUAGGACACAAGAAAAUAAAGCACAUCGAAAUCAGAAAAUUCCUUAGCGAAUUGGUUAAGUGGAUAAGGAUUUCCUCCCUAAAUGAUCAUCCAUAUCCCCAGGAAUAGUCAGUUGCAUCACUCUUGACAUCAAUGAAACAGUAAAUCUGGUGACAAAUCUGCAUACUUCAAGAGGCAAUACCCACAUGAAGUGGUUGAUGGUGGGAUUAUAUAUUGGUGGAAAAAAUAAAGUACCAUCAAAGAAACUGUUCUCAACAUUUUGUUUAGUGUUUAGUAUCACGUCCAGCAAGUUCAUAUGUCUGUUUCAUGAUUUCUAGCUUAUCAUUUAAAAGGAGCCACACUUUCUUCUUGGAAUUCAAGGUGCCCCGGAUAAGGACAAUGCUGAAUUUAGCAGAUAGAAUAAUUCAAGGGUAUAUAUCAAAUAAGGCCCAUGUGUAUUUGGGCAUAGAAAAACUUGGAUCCAACAACCGAUAAAGAUUAUAGCCAGAUAAUGCCCACAACAAACAUACAGUUCAUGUAAGAGAAGUAUAGGUCCAUAAACUAAUACGUUCAGUUUCACAUCUUUGGUAAUUUUACAGAAGUGCCUAGAGAAAAGUCCGAACAAUUAGAUGCAAUUGGGGUGGAACCCCAAAAACCUAUUUCUAUGGUUACCAGGUAGGAGAAAAAAAGGAACCAUCUUUACCAAGUUGCUCAUCAUUUGACGGUACUCCCUACAGUACUCGAAUCUCUAUGCCAAAUUAAACAAAUGUCAACACCCUACAAACUAGAUCUACCAAACUAACCAAGAAGUCAAGAACUUUACCCGGGAUCCAUACUGAUAAUGUCGCAUAACUCGAUGUUGAUCGCCCAAUCCGGGCCGAUCAACAUAUCGCUCGUCGCCCGUUCCGCACACGCCGCUGCGGCAGCCAUCGAAACGUCCUAUAAAUCGAACACAUCCAUCAAAUCUAAAUCGAACCCUCAAAAUCAUCUCUUCUUUUUUUUUCCAAAAUUAUACUUUUCUCCUUCAAAGAAAGCACCAGACCGGAUCAAAACCCACAUAAGACCGAAGCACCCAAAGAUUCACAGAAUUCCAGGGGACAUCGGAUCCGUACGUGACAGGAACGGGCAGAAAUCAGAGGCUGCCAAGGCCAAAGGGUUUACCUUUACGCCAGAGGAGACGAAGAGGGCGCCGAAGAAGCUCUUAUUCAGAUUCUUAUCUUGGGGGAAGGAUUAUGGAAGAAAGCGAGGCGGAUUAGCUCAUCAAAGAGCCGACUUUGAUAAAAAUAAAGAGAAGUGGAAAGAAGAAGAAGUCGUCGUGGGAGUUGGAAGCCGUUCAAAGAUGUGACACAGAAAAUGGCAAACGUGCCUUUAUUUCUCCCUUUCUUUUGCUUGUUAUUUUAGAAACCAUCUCAUAUUAAAUAUUACUAAAAUAAUAUUCUACAUUCCACAUUACAAUUAAUUACCAAUAAUUAAUACUAUAAUGUCUAUAAGUUUUGGUUUUGUAGGUAUACAUAUGUAUAUGGUAAAUCCAAAUUCAUCAACCCACCAGUUUUGACUGUGUAAUGGACCAAUAUUACCCAAUCUAAUUUUGGUUGCAUGACAAUGAGAUUUUUGGGGAUUCGGUGCUAAGUCUUCCCUUCCAUGGCUAUUAUUAACCAUCGGGCAAUCUACUUUUAGUUACAUGACUCAUUGGUAAUCUACUUUAAAUCGAACUAAGGAUGCUUCUUGGAUCUAUAUAUUGGAUAUUCAACUAAGAUUGGAGCCAGGAUUUUGUGUGGAUCCGUAUCUUUGGAUCCAUUAUUGCCAUAGGAUCUAACCAAGGAAUCAAAUGUUUCCUUGAUGAUGCAUUGAGUUCGGCUCGAUCUGACUCGAUUUUGUGAGUUGUAAAGUGUGAUCGAUUUAUCGGAGUUUAAAGUAAGAAAAGACUUGAAUUAAUUUGAUGAAAAUAUUAUCGAUAAUCUAAGUUUGAAGUUAAUAUGACCAAAUGUUUCGAUCUGCAACUAACAAUAAGACACCUUACAUUUUCCACAUCCAGCAAAGAAACGAAGGUAAGUCAAUGCCUUAGAGAUGAAUGCACACAAAGGUGUGCAAAUAAGUCCAAAGAAGAUGAGCAUGGUCUCAAUCUUUUCUAACACGUUUUCUCUUUCUUGGCUGUCAUUGUCUUGUAGUUUGUCUUUUGUUUCUCCUCUUCAUAGAUCUCUCAUGUUUCUUCUCCUUUCUUUGUUGUAAUUAUAUAUUAGUUUAUCUUUGAUUUCCCCCUUCUCUAAGAUCUUUUUCUUGGCUGUAACUGUCUUAUCCAAGCUGCCAUUUCAACUCUACAAUCAGGAAGAGACUGAGCUCCAUGUUUCAUUUGAGUGCCAAAAUUAAUUGUCUAUGGGAAUCAGAUCCACCAUAGACAAUUACUACAAGCAAAAAUUAGGUGUAUCACUGUUUAGGUCAGAAGUAGAAGCCAUAGGCUGUCCAUGAACAUCAUGCAGCAGUUGAUCUUCCAUCAACUGUAAAUGCCAAUUCAUAUAUGAACUACACUUGAUGGGCUUACAAAUUGCUGACACUUAGUUUCAGCAUGUUACUGAUCUGGUCAUCCAAGAUUUGGACGAACUGGGAGAUACUUCGAGAUCUGGUAAUCAGUAAACAGCAGAAGUGAGUGCAUACUUGACAUGGCAAUCCUUCAUUUCAUCGUCUCCGAUGUAAAUGAAGAAGCAGGAAUGUUCUUUGUUUGUGCCUCGAAUGAUAAGGAUGUGGAAUACAGCUGCUUCCCGAGUGGAAGGCACACUUUCCUUCGAUAACCAUAUGGUGAAUUGGAGCUGCUGCGAUCACAAGGAGCUCAACUAAGGUUCAGUUCCAGGAGUGCAGCCUGUGCCGAAGCCACCACCAUCUGAUCCUACUGGGAAUGGCAGCUCCACCCAGUGCUUGACCGAACAAGGUGAAGGUAUCCAGAAAAGCCUGAACGCAGAAAGUGGAACAUCUCACAAACAUGGAUAUUGCAAGCGGUGGCAGCUCCUCCCUCUUCUCUCUGAGAACCCACAAUGAAGCUAUCACACUAGGCCAAGACUCGGUGCCACCAUUCCCACCACAGGUGCUCUGCGUGCAGGCGAGGUUGCAUCACGUCUGCGUCACCGGAGAAAGGAGAGCUCUUAUGUCUGGCUCGCCAUCCACUAAAAGAGGUGGUGCUUUUUCCUCUCCAUGAGGGCUUCGUUCCUUCUUGUCUAGUUCUAAUGAAGCAGUAUAUCUCCCGGUGAGGUGGAGCACCGAGCUGCAUCCUUCGGCAAUCAUUGCUGGGUUUAAGAGGCGAGGCACAAAGCAAGCGGGAGCGGCAGCCCGCGGCCAUAGACGGGGGCACAUAGUUUCUCUAUAGGUGCAUAUUUUAUCCAUGGCUUCUUCUUCAAGUGAUGUUCUCGUACUUUGCCACCAUGUCAUGGAGUUGGAGGCUAUCAUUCUGGUUACAGUGAAGAAGAGAAGUGCCGUGGUGGAGAGGGGUGACGUACAGAAUUGGGUGGCAUGACAUGGGGCAUAUGUUCUCUCUUUAAGGACAAGUUGGCCAAAACUCACCAUUAAGGUAUCAGAAAAUGUGUUAGGAACACGGUGGAUGCAUGUAACCCAAGCCACAAAAGAUUCCAGCACACAAACUUCGACAGCACACAUCCUUUUCCCAGGUGAGCUCAUGUAUGAAAGGAGCAUACCAAGCUGGAUUUCAUUAAUCUCAAGGAAGUGGAAGGUAUAGAUAGACACUUAUCAGAAGGUUCUUCGCGACGGCCUCGUUGCAUCCAGCAGUCAUCUUCAUUAUAACCACAUGGUCUGUGUCGAAGCACACACGAGAGACUGAUGCUACGAUGAUUUCACUGUUAACACUACGAAACUUGGAAAGCGGCAAGUGGCAUGAUGGGGAGAUGGAUGGAUCAGAAGGCCACCUUGAGGAGAUGAAUGGAUCAGCAAGUUGGACACUGUCCUUUUCGUAUUGCCUUCUACUCUCCGGUACGAAUGUGACCGUCCCAACCAUUACCACUUCUCUGUACUGAGCCGUCCAAAGAACAUGAGGAAAAAGAGAUCCUUCAAAAUAGGUAAGAGAGCAUUAGAUUAGCCUUGUUUUGCUGUUUGUUUAUAUGAAACGACUUUACAGCAACCAUUCAUUGGAUUUCUCGAUUAAGCUUUGGCCUAUACUCUUCCGUUCAUAGGACAAGUCGUCUCGACAAGAUGUUGCUAUCACUCAUCUCUGUGUCGUUGAUAGAACACUGUAUUGCUGUAGCUUUAUAGUGACAUAAAAUCUAUGUAUAAUAAUAACUCUAAUAUUCCCAUGUAGCUGCACUUCCGCACUGCGCUCGUGCCCUUCUUGACUUGCCUGCGUCACGGGCUAUAAAUGUGGACCUUUUACUGCUUAUCUCCAUUCUCUCUCUGGUGCUGUUGUCCUGCGAAAGCAUGGGAGAAGGGAGCAACCUACCACCUGGUUUCCAGUUCUUCCCCUCCGACGAAGAGCUGGUCGUCCAUUUCCUCCGUCCCAAGGCCGCGCACCUUCCUUGCUAUCCCGACAUCAUCCCCACGAUCGAUCUCCACCACUGCGACCCGUGGGACCUCGAUGGUCAGCAAACUCCCCUGCGAGUCUAGUAGUUUUCUUGUUGCUGCAUGCAGUUAAUAUAAGACGCAUCUCUCGCUCUUUCUCUCUUGUGGACUGUGCCUGAAGGUAAAGCUCUUCAAGGAGGAAACCGCCAUUGGUACUUCUUCACCCGCAGAAGCCAGAACAGGGCAACAGCUAACGGAUACUGGCAUGCUGUCAGCACCGACGAGACCGUGACUAGCAAUCACACGCCUGUUGGUAUAAAGAAGACUCUCAGGUACUAUCUUGGCGAAGCACCUGAGGGCAUCAAGACCAAUUGGUUGAUGCACGAGUACCAUCUACCCGACGCUGGUCUUGGUAGUAGCAGCAGCAGCAAUGGUGGCAGCACCAGCAGCAGCAACAGUAGCAGAAGGAAGAGAGGAGGUCAACCGACAAGAACAGUAAGUACAUGUUUCAGCUCAACCAACACAAGAAAACUCUCUAAUCCCUUCGCUGAGCCCCACUGAUUCCGAUCCGGUGACACGAUCACCACGCAGGAAUCGAACAAAUGGGUCGUUUGCCGAGUUCAUGAGUCGGCCGGGGGUUCACAGUCGAGCUUCCACGACGACGGGUCAGAGCUUUCCUGCCUGGAUGAGGUGUUCUUGUCCUUGGAUGAUCUUGAUGACAUAAGCUUGCCAAACUGAGGCCUCAUCUGCAGGUCCAGUCGAAGAGUAAUUCUCUAACAGUGUAAUUAAGAUCCCUCGGUGCUCUUCUCAUGUUCAUCCUCAAUAAGUAAACUAGGCUAAGUCAAGCGAGCUGUAUGCUGUCCUUAUUGCAAUAUACUUAGGUCCAAGUACACUUUUGGUAUAUAUAUAUAUAUAUAUAUAUAUAGUGGCUGUGGAGCAGCCAUGCAUAUUGAUUUCUUUUUGCCCUGUGAUGUCCUUUUUCUGUGUAUUUAAUGAUCAUAGUGGCUUUGUUCUGCCACAAAGCAAAGAACUUUUGCUUCUUUUUGCCAUAAGAAGAUGGGUGGAGCGUGGGGAAGAACACUUAACAGCAAAGAGAAUCAAUAAUAAAAUAUAUGCUUACAAUAAUAAAUAUAAAAUUUACAUGAUUCAAUAUCCUUAAAUUCUUCACUAUAUGAUAAUAAUAAUAAUAAAUAUCUCUCUUUCUUUAAAUUAAACAAAGUCUAAGUUGAUAACAACACAUGCGAUUAAGUUGAUGAUAACAACAAAACGAGCAAAUCAAUUUGAUCGGUUCCAUGUCGAAUUCCCUAUCUCCUUUAGCCCGAUGUCACCACCCAACCCUAGCAUAAGGUCACCUCUGCCGUCAGUGGAAUAAGCCUAGCUAUAGGUUG